AGAAAGGACAGUCAGGGUACUUGGG
rnacentral:misc_RNA from 1 species